UACGUAGGGGGCAAGCGUUGUCCGGAUUUAUUGGGCGUAAAGAGCGUGUAGGCGGCUUGACAAGUCUGCUGUGAAAACUUGAGGCUCAACCUCAAGCUGUCGGCGGAAACUGUCAGGCUAGAGUCCGGAAGAGGAGAGUGGAAUUCCUGGUGUAGCGGUGAAAUGCGCAGAUAUCAGGAGGAACACCAAUUGCGAAGGCAGCUCGCUGGGACGUUACUGACGCUGAGGUGCGAAAGCGUGGGGAGCAAACAGG
rnacentral:rRNA from 1 species